AUUGAACGCUGGCGGCAGGCCUAACACAUGCAAGUCGAGCGAGCGGCGGACGGGUGAGUAAUGUAUGGGGACUGCCCGAUAGAGGGGGAUAACUACUGGAACAGGUGGAUAAUACCGCAUACAGGCGGAUAACACAUAGGGGAUUAGCUAGUAGGUAAGGUAAUGGCUUACCUAGGCGACGAUCCCUAGCUGGUCUGAGAGGAUGAUAAGCCACACUGGGACUGAGACACGGCCCAGACUCCUACGGAGGCAGCAGUGGGGAAUAUUGCACAAUGGGCGAAAGCCUGAUGCAGCCAUGCCGCGUGUAUGAAGAAGGCCCUAGGGUUGUAAAGUACUUUCAGUCGGGAGGCGUUACCGACAGAAGAAGCACCGGCUAACUCCGUGCCAGCCGCCGCGGUAAUAC
rnacentral:rRNA from 1 species